GCGGCUGUGGCGGAAUUGGCAGACGCGCCAGAUUCAGGUUCUGGUGGGAGUUAAUCCCGUGAAGGUUCGACUCCUUUCAGCCGCA
rnacentral:tRNA from 1 species